rnacentral:lncRNA from 1 species
UGAAGUAAUAUCUCACAUUAUUGUUAUUUGUCUUUGUAAAAGGAUGUAUGUUCCUUUCUGUCCUUGUUAUUGUAUGUUUGAACUGACUCAUGUAUGAAUGGAUUCAUGUAUGAACAGACUCUUGUAAGUUUUAUUGUUCUAGAAAUAGUAAGUAGUAAUCCUCUAAACUAUACCUAUUAUAGUUUACUAGUAAUGUUGUUUGAAUGACUGAGUAUGUUUGUACACUUUUGCUACCCAAAGGUGUUGAACUAAUGUAAGAACUUUUAUAUCUAUACCCAUAUACAUAAUAUAUAACUAAGAUUCAAAUGACACUCGGACAAACAAUUGAUACCCUAAGUCCACAACCAAAAAGGAACAGGAAAUAAAGUGAAUUAUCAGUCCUAAGCCCUUUCAACCUCAUUUAUAUAACUAUAUCUAUAUAGACAUGAGUUUGACAAUAUAUAUAUAUAUAAGUUUAAAAGAGUUUGAUAAAAGAUUUUAGCAUAUAAAAGAGUUUUAACCAUUUGAAUGCUCAUAGAUGACUUGAUGUUAGUUUAUAAAUUGUUUUGAAAUAGUUUGUUUGAUAACACAAUUUGAAGUAUAAGAGAUCCACUUGUUUUGAUAGUUAUAAAUCACAUGUGAUUGAUAUAAUAACUAUAAUGUUUUCUACUUGUAUCCACCCCCCUGCAUAAAAGCAUUUAAAAUUAUUGAAAAGAUAAAUUAGGGUUAUGAACUCACUUGGUAAGUGGUCAAUCGGGCAACAUUUCGUUUCUAGGAAUGAUCUUCCUUGACGUAACCGCGGGUUUCUGGUGAAGAAACGAGCUUCAUGCGGGCAGCACUUCGACUAGAAAUGAGUUAGUUUUUCAGGAGAUUCGGGACGUCGGGACUUUCAUUUUGUGCUAGAGGUGUUACCAGGGCUUCAGGGUGGUUUAGAGGGGCUUAACAGUGUGUAGAAGUAGGAGAGAGGAUGGGUUUCAACAACCAAAGUCGGAAGGCCUCGAUUUCUAUAUAUAGGGUAAAUUUCAAAACUCACGUCGUGAGAUUUGCAUAACUCAUGUCGUGAGUUGCACCUUAUUUGCUCAUGGCUUGCGGCAUCCGUCUACUUGCUCUGGAAGGGUCAAUCACACUGUUCACGUCGUGAACACUGUACUCACGACGUGAACUCAGACACAUGCCGAAGUUUGUGCCCCGAACUUCAUAAAUUCAUAUCUCUCGCAUAUGAGUUCCAUUUUUGAGGUACUUUAUAUCCACGCGUAGGUGAGAUUAUUCUCUACAACUUUCAUUUAGACUCCAUCGGCUAAUUUUGGUUUUAUUUUUAAUAUUAUAUUUUUAACAUGUGGGGACUGGAAAAGUCCGUUAAAAAUCCAUAACUUCUUCAUCCGACGUCCAUUUUCGUCUGUCUUUUUACCAUUGCACUACUAUUGUCGAGAUCUUGGAUUCUCGUUUAGGUUGUGUGGGUUAAAAGUUGCUCGAUCUAUAUUUCAAGUUUUUUGUUGUCUACUACUAUAUCUGAAACUUAGAAAAAUCAUAACUUCCUCAUACGAAGUUAGAGUUGGACGUUCUUUUUAUAAACGUUCACGGUUUAAUGAUAUCUACAACUUUCAUUUAGAUACCUAAGGCUAAAAAGUAUUUUAUUGAAUUUUCACAUUUUCUGCUUAACAGUUUUUUAUCGGUGUUGUUGCGGAUCUUUGGUUGGUCAUAACUUCUUCGUUAUAACCGCAGUUUAGUGUUCUUUAUAUUUCUGAAAACCUUGUUACGAUAUCUAUCACUAAAUAGAUUUUUGAACAUUACAUUUUUGACGCUAUUCUUAUUAUUUCAAAAAUAGGUUACAAUACUUGACUUUAGAUAGUUACAUUGACUUGAAAAAUAUCGGGUUGUUACAUCAUCCCCCUGUUAGAGGGAAUUUCAUCCCGAAAUUUGAGUUUAAGAAAGUACAAUUAACUAAAUAAAAAGAUGAGGAUAAUUCAGUUUCAUUUGUUCCUUGUGCUCCCAUGUGAAUUUAAGUCCCCACUUGGCAUUCCAUCAAACCUCCACUAUCGGGAUAUGAGUUUUCUUCGUUUGCUUGACCUCUCGAUCCAUGAUCUCUACUGGUUCAUCCACGAAGUUGAGGCUCUCGUUUAUCAUGAUCUCGUCAAGUGGGAUUACAAGAGUCUUGUCGGACAUACACUUUUUCAAGUUUGAUACAUGGAAAGUAAGGUGUAUGUUACUAAGUUUGUGAGGUAGUUGGAGUUUGUAAGUUACAGGGCCGAUUCUAGCGAGACCUCGAAAGGACCUACAUAUCUUGGAUUUAGCUUUCCACACUUUCCGAAGCGUAUCAAGCCCUUCCAGGGUGAGACCUUCAAAAGAACUCUGUUACCAACCUAGAAUUUCAAAGGUUUCCUUCUCUCAUCUACAUAGCUUUUCUGCCUGACCCUGGGAGCUUCACGUCGUUCCUGGAUUUGUACUCUCUUCUUGGUAGUUUCUCAGAUGAAUUCCGAACCAGCGAAGGCGCUGUCUGGAAAUUGGACCUCUAGCUAGUUGUGUGUCGCUUACUUUAAUCCAGUGCUGAGCGGGUCUGAACUUGCGACCAAAGCGGGUUUUGAAUGGAUCAACUUUAAAUGCUAGCAUGGUCAGGGACUCGACUAGUUGAUAAGUGGUUAUCAUUGUUCUUCCAAAGUCUAUCACAUAUGCUCUCCUCACAACUUCUAACGAUUGAAUCGUUCUCUCAUUCUGUCUGUUGGUUUUAAGGAUGGUAGGCUAUGCAUCGUGGCUUGCUUAGUAUUCCAAAAAUUUCUGAUGUGACUUCCUGAACUGGGAGAUGAUUCUACUAUCUCCCACAGAGAUAUCAGAUAUUGGAACAUCGUGCAGUCUAACUAAUUUCUCAGGCACACACCCUAGUUUACUUCUAUAUUCUUCUUGAUUCCUUUUAAAUUGUAAGAAGGGUGCAGAUUUGGCUGAUCUGACGACGAUCAUCCAAAAUGAAAAUCAAGUCCGCCUGCUGCCUUGAUUAACUUGAUUAUGUAGCUCUUUGUAAUCUGCUAGAGCUUCCUCUCAGGUAUCUCUAGUGGUUUGUAGUGAGCCUAUGGGCUUUUUCUCUGAAGUUCAUGAUAAGACUCGUAUGUAGGUCAUCCACCAUCACCUCGUGUAUACAAGUCAUAUAUAAUUUAGAUUGACCAAACGUUCGGAUGCGUGGCUCUGCCCCAAGUCCACAACCAGACAAGGAACAUGAGAUAAUGCGGAAUCACACUUCCUAAAUCUUGUUAAGUCUAAAUUAGAUACCACUCUUACGUAUACACUUAGCAAUGAUUGAUUAACCUAAUGAGUUCUUAGUCUCUAUUCCUAAACUUGGCCUGAGACUUCUUUGGUGUUUUUCGCUUCAAGUUUAUUAACAAUGUGUGGGUUAGAAGAGCGUGGUACCCCACGCAUGGGUACUUCUGAAGUUCUAAUAUGAGAGAUGAUAUAAGGGUUUGCAUUAUGGAUCAGAAGAAUUUCAUCUAACGGUUGAUCAAGGGAAGGGUUCUUUUUACACAGAAUAGAAAUUUUGCCUGAUAAGGACCAAGCCAAAACAGGUCGGAUGAUGAUGUUGGUACUCCUUGAUGAAUCAAUUAUUAUGUUAAUUGGAAGCAUAAAUGAUUACGAGGACGAUGAACUAACCUUGGUAUGACUACUACAAACCCUUUUUUUUAAUCAGAAUUAAAAAAUACAACUAAAUGAGGGUCCUGAUAAUUUAAAACAAUGAACCUUCAUGAAAUGACCCCUACUAGGUCUCUUUACAACCGAUUGGUGUACACCAGCCAUGUAUAAUUAAUUAAUUAAUUGGGUUUGGAAGCAUACCAAAACUAUAACAUGUGUCUUUGAUGCUUCCCCAUAUUCUGGGGUCAAACUCCUCAUGCUCCCCCGCUAUUCUUCUCUAUUGGACAGUCCCUUUUGAAAUGUCCCAUUUUACCACAAAGGUGGGAUAUUGGACUGAUUUCAACGUUGGUGGUCGAAGUAAUGUGCCAGAUCGGGACUCUGCAGAAAUAGGUAGUGUGCUCGUUCCUGUUGCAGUUCUUGAAAUGAAUCUCUCGACAGGCUCCCGGGUGAUGGAAGCUACACUCAUUGCACUUGGGUAGAUUCCCAGCAUACUUCCUUGCUGAGGUAGGGGUAACCGGGAUACUAGUAGAAACGGCAGUAGGAGUAACAGAUGUCGUGGCCGUAGAGGCUGCCACUGGUUGUUGUCUCUUGGCUAACUUUUGAGGUGAUUUGCCCUUCUUAGCCCAGAACAUUCGUUUCUUGUUCUUCCUUUGGAGGUUCGGAGUGUCUUUGCGAGUAGGCACUCGUUGUUGUAUAUGGUUAUUACCUUGAUUGGGAUUGCCAAUAAUAAUUCGACUACCAUUUGCGCUGUUAGCAUUAAGGUGAGUUAUGACAGCUAUAGCAGCAGCUUGAAAAGUAGUCGUAUCCAUCUAAAGGAUUGGUGUUUUGCCAACCGGUUGGUUACGUUUCUUCGAAGACAUGAUUCUGUUACAUGAUAAGGAAAUGAGUUCAUGAGCAUUUAUGGUUGGUUCUAGAUGUAUUCUAAUCAUUUAUAUGAAUGUAACUUUUUCGUUUUGUUAUACUGUCCUUGAUGAUUCGAGCUACAUCCCUAUGAUGCAGUCCUGGUAAGGUGUAUAAGGAAGUUCCUAGAAUGGUCACAAGGUCGGUGGCAUUCAAAGUAAGUUAUCUUUGGUUGGAGAAUAUCAUGCUCCAACUUUUGAAACGAUUUGAAAGUAGCUCAUAAUAGAGUAUACAUAAUAUAGAGUUAUGAAUUUUUGAGAAAUAAUCACUCUCGAUUGAGAUUUCGUGAUCCGAUUUAUUGAUGUUUGUCAAUAUUACUAGUAUUUAAGAUGUAACAAGUUCAGGUAACAUGUCCUAUGAGUAGGUCUUACAUCACACCAGCAUUGAGAAAACUUUGACAGCACAAAGACCUAGCCGAUUGAAAGUUCAGGGUCUUGACAUAAGCAUGAAACUUGUACUAGAGUUUAUACAUAGACCUAAUUUAUAUAAAAGAGAGAGUAGAGUAAGCUCUACUCACGAGGGGAGUUGUUCUACUUGAUUCAGCUCUGGCUUCAGCCAGAUGUUGUUCUGUUUCCCAAACUCGUCUCUGUAGUGCCACAUGGUUCUGUCGAAGAUCCCUAACUUCAGAUUGAUAGACAUUCAACUCUACAUGUAGGACGUCAGUAAGAGACCUCUCGAAGUCCUGAUCAUCGGUUAGAUGAAGAAGACGUAUUUUGUUGACUCCGGAGUUAGCACGGAGUUCCAUGUCAUGGUCGAAGCUCGCUCUUCCCCACUCAACAUUGUGAGCAAUACGUCGAACCAUAAUAGGAAGGUCUUUAUCUGCUAAGCCUCACUCAUUCAAGUUAUAGAAACUUCAGUCUCCGUUGUAGGGAGGUGCCUUUCCCUGGUCGUGGUUCCACCUGUCUAAGUUCACCGCCCACAGAGGAAUCGGGCCUUGAAAAGCCGGACGAGGGUUAGGAUUUCGAGCUACUUGGGGUGGAUGAUAGAUUUCCGGCUCGGAGUCAGAAUUCUCCGGGAAGUUUUCUGCAAACUCAUCAUCCAAUGGAAUUUAAUGAUUCUCUUCUGGUUCUGCAUCGAUCCAUCCAUCAUUUCCUUGGUUGGGAAAGUACAGGUCGCUGGGGAUGUUGAAUCCAGCCAUAUGAUCUACGCGAGAAUAAGGAUAAAAGAGAUAGUUAAUAGACGUACUACUUAAGAUAGUUAAUAAACGUACUACUUAAGAUAGUUAUAGGGUGAUCCUUACUAGUACUUCAAUACUUGCGUAGUGCAUACCAGUCAUAUGUAACCAAAAAAGUAUAGACCUUCGAAUAAGUGACCCUAACUCUAAAUCCACAACCAAACAAGGAACAGGAAGUAAAGAAAAUAUCACAGAUUCUAAGUCUGUGACACCUUCGUCACAUAUAACCUUUGUGUAUUGACUCUGAAAUUAUUGACCUAGUAAUAAAGACCUUUUAGUUCUCAAAUAAGUAAAUUUAGUAACACAAAAUACUCCUAUAGUAUUUUAAGUUUAUGUUAUGUUCUAAAGUUUUCAGUGUAGUAAUGUUGGUAAGUUUUUAGACUUGCUGCAACACCACAACCAUUCCUAGGCACAUGCUAAUCACUUCUCAGAAAGAUAUAGUUGAUCAGGCUAUAUCACUCCCAGAUCUGACUAUAUGUCCCCAAGCCUGUUUGUGUUGUCCAACAAUCGCAAUACUUUUGUUUUGUCCUAGUAUGACACUGAUUUUAGUAUGAAUGCAUGUAUGUAUACUUUGGUUAAAAUUUUAUUAUUUAAAAGUAUAAACUCUUGGUCAGAGUAUUUUAAUCCCAAUGUGUUUAUAGUUGUACAUCUUUUCACGGGUUGAUAUACUCAAUUCGCUAUAAACAAAGCUCUGAUACCAAUUUAUCACACCCCUAAACCGGAACAGCUGAAACGUUCGAGGGCGGAGGACGUCAUGUUCAGUAUCAUAACAAUGCACAAUAGUAAAACACGCAACAACAUCAUCCAUUGCAUUAAUAAUACAGUUACUACAAAUUUGUUCUGAAUGUAUUUGUAAGACACCAAAAAUAUGAAUAUCAAAAAUAAAAGACGAGUCUUGAACACGCUCCGUCUUCUCAAAACCUGGUCCAGUGUACCUAUCUACUGGUGACCUAAGAAUACAAGUUAUUUUGAAAGAGUAGAUCAACAUUUAAGCCGAUGAGUUCGUAUGUAUUUUAGUAUCAAAUGUUUGCAUUAGUUUGAUGAAAAUGUUUGUAAGUGUUUUGAUGUAAAUUUUUGUAUACUUCCAAGAAAAUCCUAUAUUUCCUACUAAAUGUAGUCUUCUACCAAGACCCAACUGUUUUGUAUGUUUGUUUCUCUUCAAAAAUGAUGUAAGAUGUGUAUUUGUACUUGUAAUAGUAUAAAUGUGGGUUUUCCAUAUUUGUAAAACUAUCUUUAUACGAAAAAUAGUAUGCAUUUCUUAUGUGAGUAAAUCAAUGUAUGAAUGUAAUGGAAAAAUGAAAGUGUACAUUAAAGUUGUUUAAAGUAACUACUAAAGCACUAGUUACCUUAAAACUAAUGUGUUUAUUAAGGUUAAAAUGUGAUGUGGUUAUCACCAUACUGAUUGACGACUAUUUAACAUGACAACCUGCUCGCGUCGAAACUGAAUAUCUGACAUUUGUCACCCCUUGGCGUGUAUGCCGGACUGUAGCUAACAGUUGGGAUGUGGGAUUGUCUGUCCCGUAUAGAUCUAUACACAAUGCAUGCUCUCCCUCUAGAAGCCUCUAGUUACAAAACGUGAGACAACUGUAUAUUUCCAUGCCAUGAAGUAAUAUUUCACAUUAUUGUUAUCUGUCUUUGUAAAAGGAUGUAUGUUCCUUUCUGUCCUUGUUAUUGUAUGUUUGAACUGACUCAUGUAUGAACGGAUUCAUGUAUGAACUGACUCUUGUAAGUUUCAUUGUUCUAGAAAUAGUAAGUAGUAACCCUCUAAACUAUACCUAUUAUAGUUUACUAGUAAUGUUGUUUGAAUGACUGAGUAUGUUUGUACACUUUUGC